AACGAACGCUGGCGGCAUGCCUAACACAUGCAAGUCGAACGAGACCUUCGGGUCUAGUGGCGCACGGGGGCGUAACGCGUGGGAACAUGCCCUUAGGUUCGGAAUAACUCCCCGACAGGGGUGCUAAUACCGGAUAAUGUCUUCGGACCAAAGAUUUAUCGCCUUUGGAUGGGCCCGCGUUGGAUUAGCUAGUUGGUAGGGUAAAAGCCUACCAAGGCGACGAUCCAUAGCUGGUCUGAGAGGAUGAUCAGCCACACUGGGAGUGAGACACGGCCGGGAAUCCUACGGGAGGCAGCAGAGGGGAAUAGUGGAAAAUGGGCGAAAGCCUGAACCAGCAAGGCCGCGUGAGUGAUGAAAGCCUUAGGGUUGUAAAGCUCUUUUAACCGGGAUGAUAAUGACAGUACCGGGAGAAUAAGCCCCGGCUAACUCCGUG
rnacentral:rRNA from 1 species